rnacentral:rRNA from 1 species
GUUCGUUUUUAUGAGCGUUCGGUGGAUGCCUUGGCAUCGGGGGCCGAUGAAGGACGCGGUGGCCUGCGAUAUUCCUCGGGGAGCCGGCUUGCGGGCUGUGAUCCGAGGGUUUCCGAAUGGGGGGACCCGGCGCCCGUUGUGGGGCGUCACCCGCGUCUGAAUGUCAUAGGGCGCGGGGGGUGACGCGGGGAAGUGAAACAUCUCAGUACCCGCAGGAGUGGAUAUUCCGUGAGUAGUGGCGAGCGGAAGCGGAUGAUGGUUAAACCGUGCGCGUGCGAUCACCCGGCGGGGGUUGCGGGCGCGGUGUUGUUUGGGGCGCGUUCUUCCCGUCGCCGCCGCGGCGGGGCGCAGUGCAUUGAACCGGUCGGGUAGCCGAAUCCCCUGGGAUGGGGGGCCGCAGCGGGUGACAGCCCCGUAGGCGGAACCCGGCGGGCUGCGCGGGCGCGGCCCCCAGUAGCACGGGGCCCGUGGAAUCCUGUGUGAAUCUGCCGAGACCACUCGGCCGCCUGAAUACCUCCCGAUGACCGAUAGCGGACGAGUACCGUGAGGGAAUGGUGAAAAGUACCCCGGGAGGGGAGUGAAACAGUACCUGAAACCGGGCGCUCACGAGCCGUCAGAGCCCCUUGUGCGCAUCCUCGGGCCGUGUGUCCGGGGGGCGGGGGGUGAUGGCGUGCCUAUUGAAGAAUGAGCCUGCGAGUCGCCGCCGCGUCGCGAGGUUAACCCGUGUGGGGGAGCCGUAGCGACAGCGAGUCCGAAUGGGGCGCCCAGUGGCGCGGCGCGGACCCGAAGCGGGGUGAUCUACCCAUGGCCAGGUUGAAGCACGUGUAAGAGCGUGUGGAGGACCGAACCCACCUAGGUUGAAAACUGGGGGGAUGAGCUGUGGGUAGGGGUGAAAGGCCAAUCAAACUCCGUGAUAGCUGGUUCUCCCCGAAAUGCAUUUAGGUGCAGCGUCGCAUAUUAUGCUUGUUGGAGGUAGAGCUACUGGUUGGUUGAGCGGGACGAUAAUCUUAGCAACAUCAGCUAAACUCCGAAUGCCAGCAAUGUGGGUGCGGCAGUGAGACUGCGGGGGAUAAGCUCCGUUGGUCGAGAGGGAAACAGCCCAGAUCGUCGGUUAAGGCCCCUAAGGGUGUGCUCAGUGGGAAAGGAUGUGGGAUCGCGAAGACAGCCAGGAGGUUGGCUUAGAAGCAGCCAUCCUUGAAAGAGUGCGUAAUAGCUCACUGGUCGAGUGGUUCUGCGCCGAUAAUGUAGCGGGGCUUAAGUACACCGCCGAAACCGCGGCAACACAUGUAAAGGUGUGUUGGGUAGGGGAGCGUCGUGCAUGUGUUGAAGCUAUUUGGUGACAGGUGGUGGAGUGUGUGCGAGUGAGAAUGCAGGCAUGAGUAACGAUUGAUGUGUGAGAAACAUAUCCGCCGGAUGACUAAGGGUUCCUGGGUGAAGUUUGUCUUCCCAGGGUGAGUCGGGGCCUAAGGCGAGGCCGACAGGCGUAGUCGAUGGAUGACGGGUUGAUAUUCCCGUACCGGCGAAGCACCGACCAUGCUGACGCGCGGGUGCUAACCCACGCCCCUGCUGCCACGACAAGCCGCGGUCGUCUCCUUCGGGGGGUGGUCGUGGUUGUGGCGGCGGGUGGUCUGGGGGUCCUCCGUGCUGGUAGGCAAGCGUGUUAACAGGGGUGACGCACAGUGGUAGCCUCGCGGGCCUGAUGGCUUGGCCCGUUCAAGCGCGCGGCCCGGUCCCCAGGCAAAUCCGGGGGCCUGCCCCGCCGCCCCCUUGCGGGGGUGGUGGGGUGUGGGUGAGGCGUGAUGGUGACCCCGCAGCUGGCGGGGGAUAGCAGGGUGAUCCUGGGGUGCCGAGAAAAGCCUCGACGUGAUGGUGUCAGCCGCCCGUACCCUAAACCGACACAGGUGGUCCGGCAGAGUAUGCCUAGGCGAGCGAGUGAACCGUGGUGAAGGAACUCGGCAAAAUGCCCCCGUAACUUCGGGAGAAGGGGGGCCCGAACCCUGAAACGGCUGGCCCGUUAGGGGGGUGGGCCGCAGAGAGCAGGGGGGAGCGACUGUUUACUAAAAACACAGGUCCGUGCGAAGCCGUAAGGCGAUGUAUACGGACUGACGCCUGCCCGGUGCUGGAAGGUUAAGAGGAACCAUCAACCCCCUCGGGGGUGAAGUGGUGAAUUUAAGCCCCAGUAAACGGCGGUGGUAACUAUAACCAUCCUAAGGUAGCGAAAUUCCUUGUCGGGUAAGUUCCGACCUGCACGAAUGGCGUAACGACUCCCCCGCUGUCUCCACCACGGGCCCGGCGAAAUUGCAUUACGAGUAAAGAUGCUCGUUGCGCGCAGAAGGACGGAAAGACCCCGGGACCUUCACUGCAGCUUGGUAUUGGCGCCCGGUUCGGCUCGUGCAGGAUAGGUGGGAGACUGUGAGGCCGCCGCGUCAGCGGUGCGCGGAGUCGUCGUUGAGAUACCACUCCGGCCGUGUCGUGCGCCUGAACCUGGGCCCGUGAUCCGGGUCAGGGACAGUGCCUGGCGGGUAGUUCAACUGGGGCGGUUGCCUCCCAAAGGGUAACGGAGGCGCUCAAGGGUCCCCUCAGCCUGGUCGGCAACCAGGUGUCGAGUGCAAGUGCACAAGGGGGCUUGACUGCGAGACCGACGGGUCGGGCAGGUGCGAAAGCAGGAACUAGUGAUCCGGCGGCUCCGUGUGGACGGGCCGUCGCUCAACGGAUAAAAGGUACCCCGGGGAUAACAGGCUGAUCCUGCCCAAGAGUCCAUAUCGACGGCAUGGUUUGGCACCUCGAUGUCGGCUCGUCGCAUCCUGGGGCUGGAGCAGGUCCCAAGGGUUGGGCUGUUCGCCCAUUAAAGCGGUACGCGAGCUGGGUUUAGAACGUCGUGAGACAGUUCGGUCCCUAUCCUCUGCGCGCGCAGGAGACUUGAGGAGACCCGUCCCCAGUACGAGAGGACCGGGACGGACGGACCUCUGGUGCGCCAGUUGUCCCGCCAGGGGCACCGCUGGUUGGCCACGUCCGGGAAGGGUAACCGCUGAAGGCAUCUAAGCGGGAAACCACCUCCAAGACCAGGUCCCCGCACAACCCCCCCGGGGUUGUGGAAGGCCCCCAGUGGACCACUGGGUCGAUAGGCCGGAGGUGCAAGCCCGGCAACGGGCUCAGCCGACCGGUACUAAUAGGCCGACACGAACCACA